UAACCAUUUGAUUAAUUAUCAUCAUAAGGCCCAAUAGUGGCCUCAAUUAGAGAACCCAUGGCAGUCAAACCCAACUACCAGCUGGGUACAUGUCAAGCAGGGAAUUGGCCACAUGGAAUAUAAAAACCUUACACGCCAUUGGGCCCCACGUGCCAAGCAUUAAAUGAGACUGUCAAGCAUUAAAUGUAAUAAGGCCGUCUCCCCUUGAGGCGUGGUGAAACCGCCAUGGCCGGUGACAAGUAGGUCAUAGACUUUUGACCAAUAGGACAACGUAAAUGGACAAGGGAAUGAUUGGUAAGAGAUAUAGGGAAGCUGAAGGACAUUUGGUAAAAAAAUCACCCACACACUCUCUCACUUUGCUCUCAAUUCUUUCUAAGUCUCUUCUUCCUCUCCAUGUACUUAACUAACUUGAUCGUCGGAGGGUCCUCAGGAGGGAACCACUCGUACUUUGGAACCUUCCUGUUGGACUUAUUGCAGGUGUUGUUGGGAAGACGAAGGUCAGUCGACUCGUGGAGCAUCUGGAUCCUGUCCAACCCAUCUUCUACUGACCAAAAUGCAUCAUCACAUGAUAAGAUCCUGUCCAAGCCAUCUUCUUAAGUUUUGCAGUUCUUUUGAAGAUUCUCAGCUUCAAUGGAGUUCAAUUUCCUCCCCAUCUUCACAUUUCUUUCAUUGACACUGGUGGCAGGGCAUGCAGCAGUAUCUCCCGAAGCUUACUGGAACAUGGUUUUGCAAAACACUCCCAUGCCUAGGACUCUAAA